rnacentral:tRNA from 1 species
UAGGUAGUAGUUUAUUAAAAUUUGUGUUUUGGGGAUAUAAGAUCACGAUUGUGCUGCUUAA